GUAGGUGGCAAGCGUUGUCCGGAAUUAUUGGGCGUAAAGCGCGCGCAGGCGGUUCUUUAAGUCUGAUGUGAAAGCCCACGGCUCAACCGUGGAGGGUCAUUGGAAACUGGAGAACCUGAGUACAGAAGAGGAAAGCGGAAUUCCACGUGUAGCGGUGAAAUGCGUAGAGAUGUGGAGGAACACCAGUGGCGAAGGCGGCUUUCUGGUCUGUAACUGACGCUGGGGCGCGAAAGCGUGGGGAGCAAACAGGGAUUAGAUACCCUGGUAGUCCACGCCGUAAACGAUGAGUGCUAAGUGUUAGGGGGGUUUCCGCCCCCCUUAGUGCUGCAGCUAACGCAUUAAGCACUCCGCCUGGGGAGUACGGCCGCAAGGCUG
rnacentral:rRNA from 1 species